UACGAAGGGGGCUAGCGUUGUUCGGAAUCACUGGGCGUAAAGGGCGCGUAGGCGGCUUUAUAAGUCGGGGGUGAAAGCCUGUGGCUCAACCACAGAAUUGCCUUCGAUACUGUAGAGCUUGAGACCGGAAGAGGUAAGUGGAACUGCGAGUGUAGAGGUGAAAUUCGUAGAUAUUCGCAAGAACACCAGUGGCGAAGGCGGCUUACUGGGCCAACACUGACGCUGA
rnacentral:rRNA from 1 species